UGGAAAUGGUUUAGCUUCAUCGCAUGGCGCUUGUAGAUAGUCCAGGUUUCAGACCCGUAAAGUAGCGUAGGCAGCACAACGGCACGAUACACUUUGAUCUUUGUAUCUGUUCUUAUCCCUCUCCUUUUCCAAACGUUCUUACGAAGCCUUCCAAAUGCGGCGCUUGCUAUGGCGAGUCUGUUGGUAACUUCGUCAUCGAGGACAACGUUUCUGGAGAGAGUACUGCCAAGGUCUGCUUGAGAGGUAGCAUUGAGGGCACAAUCG